AGAUGAUGGCAUCGAUUUUUCUGAGAAACGCUUUGUGGAGAUGGAUGAAGUUUCUACGUGUACAAAAACAGACAGAACAUAUCAAUUAGGCAAUGGCAAUGAUUAUAUAGAGACUUCAGAAGGAUCAACAGGUGGCUUGUUAGGAACAAGUAGACAACACAUACAAAGAAGAAAGAGAGCGUUAGAUAAUUACAUCAAAUCAGCAGAGAAGCAAAUGUACAAGCAUUCCAAAAGCAAACGGGCGAAACUACAACCAUAUGCAGUGGGUGACUAUGUCACUGUUAGAAUUCCC